UCCAGCUCAGUUAGAUAUGGAUGCAGGAGAGCAGGUCACAAGAAGCUGGAGGUACAGGGCUUCCAGCAGUAAAUGGUGCACUAUAGCAUUCACCAGUCCACAUAGGAGGGAAGCUGCUGCAGAGCAACGGCUGUUGGCUGAUCAAAAUCAGUGAAGGUUUUCAGGCUCUCUGUGGCCAGGAUAGGGAGGAUGCUGCACUCAGUCCAAAGCAGUGAGAGAAGGCAGGUUGGUGCACAAACUAUGCUGCACUGGCCAGAAGGGGAGCUAGGAGGAGAAAGCUGUGUUAUGGUUCAGUGCCUUUACAAACCCUGUACUGGGAUUCUCCAGCAAGUGUAGCUGUCCACUUUGUGGUGUGAGGAGGUCAAACUGCGGGAGCUGCUAUUGUCAGGGAGACCCCACAGAGGCAGAGGAACAGCCCAUGAGACCUUUCUGCCUCACCAAUUCCCAUCGCUGUGAGGCUUAAGACUCAUCUCAUUGCCUUCAUCAAUCAAGAAGCACACAAAAUAUCCAUGCCUUCCCCCUUUCCAGUGCUGUCCAAGCGGAACUGGAAGUGGUGGUGAAGGCUUAGCACAAGAUUUCUGUGAACAGGAGGUCACAUUAGCUGCCCACUCACAGAGAAGAUCCCAUCUGGGAUCCUAGGGUCCAGGUCCAGGACCUCCUCCCCGCCUUUGGAGGAGGGCUGAAGGGAGUAUCAGAUGCAAUGAAGUGCACCCCCUUCCUGGUAGCCUCCACCUCCCACCACUGCUCCUGCGGUUGUGCAAGGGGAAACAGUGUCAGACAGGUGAGGCCAACUUCCUACUGAAGCCCCACUGCCCUCAGCCACCUGAGUGGAAGGUGAGGGCCAGCCAACCCAGGAAUGGCACUGAGUUUUGGGAGCCUCUAUCAGGCCUCUUGUUUGCGGUAGUCCUCUGGACUUGGCUGUGCUCACAGCCUUUAUCGACUCCACACAAGCUACCUACAGCCUGGCCAUCAACACCACCAUGAGCCAGUUACCCUAGGUUAAGGGUCAUCUGUUUCCACCUCCUUUGCCUGUGAGAGGUCUCAUAUGUCUGUGGCACUCAAGGGAACUGAAGGACAGUGCUGCAUAUGGCCACUCUGAACCGUCUUGGCUUCUGUGGACUCUUCUGGUUGCCUGGGGAGAAGAAGAAAAACUGAAGCACGGUGCACACACACGCUCACGUCGCACUGAUAGGUCUGGGGAGCUCUCCGUGGGAACAGUCUCAAGAGAACCAGAACAGCCAUAAAAAGCACCUCUUCCUGCUGGGGAGGUGCCUUCAGUGGAUAAGGAGUCCUGGAGCUACCCAGGCUACAGCACUCUUCUUGUUAAGGCUGCUCCCACUCUAACUGCUUUCUUCAGCGGCCUGUAAGGAAAGCGUCAAGCAACAAAUCUUAUCGCAGAAUAACCGAGAGAAAGAUAACACUUCCCUUAUCAGCACUUUUACUCACAACCAGUGUUUCUUCCUCUGACAAGCAGAGAGAGGCCAGAGCUCCUUGCUUGUAGAGAAUAUAUCCAGGUUCAAGUGAAAGGUAGGAUACAUAGGGAUCCAUGUGCACCUCUGAGAGUGGUCCUGCUGUCUGAAUGGAGCUGAGGAUCAGCUGGGGGAGCUACUGUAUCUUGGGGAGAGAGGUUAUCAUUUUGCUGACACAAUGCAGGAGUCUAUUCCUUCCUUUCCUCCCUCAUCCUGACACGAGACAGGAGCUGUGGCUUCCCUUUACCUAGUGCCAUUAACAAAGCAUGUGGUGGGUGCAGACAGACAGCUUUUGAGCGAUGAGGCCAACAUAGGGUGCCGGGUCAAUGCCCAACAUGAUGCUUUCCUCUCUGCUGCGCUUUAUCAUUGAUAGGGCUUGGUGAGGCUCUUCCAGUAUGUCCCUUACUGCUAUGUAGAUCAAGAGCCAUGUAAACUAAGAGCCAUAUAGACUAACAUGGGCACACUGUGACAUGAAGGGCAAAUGGGUCAAAUAGGUUUGACCACUGUGAUCGUCUCCUUCUUGGUGAGAUUCAGCUUAGUGUUUGCUAAAGCCAACAGGACCAUGCUGUUCACACUGCUGUGAACUUCACUCUGGGCCACAUGUCCUUUGCCAAUGUCUUACAAAGCUUGGGAAGCCUUUCCAGACACCUAAGGGAUGAAGGCCAUGCAUGAUAUCUGAGGAGAGGAAAGAUGAUAUUGUAUCCAGGAGGACUAGAUUCUCCUCUGCCCAUUGUCCCUGACCUUUCCAUACCCUUCUAGGAAACCUAUGGGAGAUAAAAAGAAAUGGUCUAUUGGGCCAUUUCUAACCAAGAUCUAAGCAAGCUUCCAGGGACUGCAGAGACUGUCAAGGCAAAGGAAGUCCUGAACCAGAUAUACUUCCUUAUUCUGGAACACUUGUCCCAACCGACGAGCUGCUCAGCCACCAGACUUAGAGAGACAAGAAACUGCAAAUCUCCCAGGACAAAGGCUGGAGAAGACAGACUUGAAGGAACUUGAAGCUCUUCUGUGGCAGAGAAGGAAGGGCCAGAUACUGUUUCAUAAUCCCUGGAAAGAUGUGUUGAAGAAACCUCCUCUGGCAAGGACAGCCCCAGGAGAAGGUGCAGUAUAACAGCUCAGAGGAGGAUGGAGAAAAUCCCUUGGCAACAAGGACUGCAGGAGAAAAAAAAAACACUGUAAAAACAACCACAAGUGUGCAUCCAGCGGAAAAAAAAAUGCAUGCUUUUCCAUGGGAGAUGGAAUGAUCUAAACUUCAUCACUCAUCACCAAUACGUGAAUCUGUAGCUUUCCAAGGUAUUCUUUCCCUACCAAAUGAGACCAGCGGAGUGCACCAGUGAAGAAGCAAGUUCAUCUUGCCAGGGAAUUGCCACACUAGUGUCGGGCCACACCAGUUACCGAGUUGCCCAAACUGGAUCCAGCAUUCCAGGUGUGGGCUCAUCAACAGCAAGCAAGGGGAAGAGCCACUUCCUUCAACCCACAGACUAAGUCAAUCCAUCUGGAUGGAUUUAUGACUUUGAGAUGGAUUCUACCUACAGUUCUCUGGGACUACUUGCAGUUUUCACCUGAGAGGUAGAGUAAUUGCAGAACAAGGAAAAUGGGACACAACUGGUGUGGUAGAGUGUGGUCUGAGCUUUCUAGCCUUAGUAAUGAACUCUUCUUCACAUCCUCUUCUGUACUUAUCAUCUUCCAAGUAAUUUUAAAAAGUGGUUCAAAAGUAUAGAAUUACAUGCCUCUGGAAAUUACCACUUGUCUUUUGAAACUUAAUUGCAGAGUGAAAAUAAAAUUCU